rnacentral:rRNA from 1 species
UACGUAGGGCGCAAGCGUUGUCCGGAAUUACUGGGCGUAAAGAGCUCGUAGGCGGUCUGUCGCGUCUGCCGUGAAAACCCGAGGCUUAACCUCGGGCUGGCGGUGGAUACGGGCAGACUAGAGGUAGGUAGGGGAGAAUGGAAUUCCCGGUGUAGCGGUGAAAUGCGCAGAUAUCGGGAGGAACACCGGUGGCGAAGGCGGUUCUCUGGGCCUUACCUGACGCUGAGGAGCGAAAGCGUGGGGAGCGAACAGG